GACAACCCAAUUUUUAGGUGAGCAAAAGUAAAUAACAUUUAAUAUUUGGUUGCAUAUCCCCUUCUCACAAUAACAGUAUGAAGCUGGUCACCCACUGACCUCACCAAACUGUUUCACCAUUCUUUUUUGUUGCUUUUUCAGGCUUGUACCACAGCUUCUUUCAAAUGUAUUUGUUUUUGUUUUGGGGAGAGUUGGGGGGGGGGGGGGGGCAGUUCUCCCUUCAGUCUCCUAUUCAGGAGGCGAAAUGCAUGCUCAACUGGGUUAUGGUCUGGUGAUUGACUUGACCAGUUUAAAACCUUCCACUUGUUGGCGGUGCUUUUUGGCUCAUUGUCUUGCUGCACAAUGAAGUUCCUCCCAAUUAGAUUGGAUGCAUUUCACUGUAAAGUGGAAGACAGAAUGUUUCUGUAGACUUCGGAAUUCAUUCUGCUGCUACCAUCAUGAGUUACAUCAUCAGUAAAAUUAGUAGGCCCAUUCCAGAAGCAGCCAUACAAGCCCAAGCCAUAACACUACCUCCACCAUGCUUGAAUGAUGAGCUUCUAUGUAUGGAUCAUGAGCAGAUCCAUUCUUUUUUCAUGCUUUGGCCUUUCCAUCACUUUGGUAGAGGUUAAUCUUAGUUCCAGAACUUUCGUGGCUUGACUUUGUAUUUCUUUGCGAAUUCCAAUCUCGUCUUCUGAAUAUUACUGCUCAUGAGUGGUUAGCAUCUUGUGGUAUGCCUUCUAUAUUUCUGCAAGUCUUCAAUGCUUGUGCAAUGGCUCUGAUUGAUUUCCCCAUGUCCUCAGCUUCAGAAUGGCUUGCUUUUCUCCCAUAGGCUGCUCUCUGGUCUUCACAUUGGUGUAUCCUUUUUAACAACAAAUCUAGUCUUCACAGGUGACUCCUAGGGCUCCAACCAAGAGUAGAGCCAUUGUUUCUUCAAAAGUAUAUUGGAACAUGUGACUGAAGCAUUUCUUGCUGCCCAGGUAUGCACUGUUAAACUGAUUUUUUAAUCACUUGAUAAAAAUGCGGGUUCAAACAAAAGUUGCCAUGUUCUAAAUUGUUUAACACAUCCAGAUGUAAAAAUGAGGAAAUGAAAGCUGAAAUUCUGAUCUAUCGUUUCAAAUUCCUCUUUUGAUCUCAAACCAAAGGUCUUCAAUGUAGCGUGAAAAAAAUAAAAAAGAAUUGGCCUUGCUGUUCCAGUACUUUCAGAGGGGACAGUGUAUAUAUAGGCCGAUCAGCCUUCAUAAUAAAACCAUUGACAGGUGAAGUGAAUAAAAUUGAUUAUUUUAUUACAAUGGAACCUGUUAAGGGGUGGGAUAUAUUAGGCAACAAAUGAACAUGGGCAGGAAAAAUGGGCAAGCAAUCUGAGCGACCUUUACUAGGGCCAAAUUUUGAUGGCUAGAUGACUGGGUCAGAGCAUCUCCAUAACGGUAGGUCAAAAGGGGUCCAAGGAAGGAAAAUCAGUGAACCGGUGACAGGGUCAUGGGUGCCCAAGGCUCAUUGAUGCGAAUGGGGAGUGAAGGCUAGCCUGUCUGGUUCAAUUCCAUAAAAGAGCUACUGUAGCACAAAUUGCUGAAAAAGUUAACACUGGCUAAGAUAGAAAGGUGUCAGCACACACAGUACAUUGCAGUUUGCUGUGUAUGGGGCUGCGUACCCACAGAAUGGUCAGAGUGCCCAUGCUGACCCCUGUCCACUGCUGAAAGCACCUACAAUGGGCAUGGGAACAUCAAAACUGGACCAUGGAGCAAUGGAACAACGUGGCCUGGUCUGAUGAAUCACAUUUUCAUUUAUAUCAUGUGAACAGCAGGGCAUUCAUGUGGAUGCUAUAACCUAAACAGACCAAGUACACCCCUUCAUGGCAACAGUAUUCCCUAAUGGCAGUGGCCGCUUUCAGUAGGAUAAUGCACCCUGCCACACUGCAAAAAUUGUUCAGGAAUGGUUUGAGGAACAUGACAAAGGGUUCAAGGUGUUGACUUGGCCUACAAUUUCCUCAGAUCUCAAUCCAAUCACACAUCUGUGGGAUGUGCUGGACAAACAAGUCCGAUCCAUCGAGGCCCCACCUCGCAACUUACAGGACUUAAAGAAUCUGCUGCAAAUAUCUUGGUGCCAGAUACCACAGCACACCUUCAGAGGUCUUGUGGAGUCCAUGCUUUGAUGGGUCAGAGUUUUGGUGGCACAAGAGAGAGCUACAAAAUAUUAGGCAGGUCAAUUAUUGUUAUGGGCAAGAUACAUGCUUAGAAAGUUUCUUUGCUGCUUCAAAUUUAUAUCUGGUUUUAUAGUUGUUAUAUUAUGCCAAUAUUGGUCUUUUUUCAAUGUUGUUUUAGCUACAUUCAAAUCAUGUCAGAUGUCAUUUCCCAAGAGGUUGUCUAAUGGUAAUUGUUUUUAAUGUUAUAUUGUUAUGCAUAGUUUAUUAAGAACAAAAAUAAACUCUACCUAUGUACUAAUGUCGAUAUAGAAUUUAGAUAUAGAGUGUAUUGAAAGACAGUGAAUUUUAAUCUCAAUAAUAAUGAAAGCAUUAUUUAUUAUUAAUUGUUUUUGUUAGUGUGAUUUGUUUUGUGUGCUGUUGACAUUUUUAUGUCCUUUCUUCAACCAGAAAGAAAUGUCAACCAACCAAUCAAACUCUAGAAACCCAAAAUCUUGAAUACCGCCAGCACUUUUUUUUGUUUUUGUCUGACCUCCAACCUAAUGGCCCACUUGUUGAUAGCAACAAAUACAGUGGAUAUAAAAAGUCUACACACCCCUUAAAAUUGCAGGUUUUUUGAUGUAAAAAAUUAAACCAAGGUAAAUCGUUAGGUUUUUUUCCACCUUUAAUGUGGUAUAGCUACCAUCAAAAUUCUACUGAAAAACAAAUAGAACUGUUGUGGGGGAAAAGAGAAAAGAACAAACGUACAGUAACUUGGUUGCAUAAGUGUGCACACCGUUUUUUAUAAUGGGGCAUGUGAUGUGUGUCUGAGGAAUUAACCAAUCACAUUCAAACUCAUGUUCAAAAGAAAUUAUCAUACACCUGUGGUCAAUAAAUGUGAUUCAGAUUUAUGACAAAUAAAGAUCCACUGUUUUGGAUUCCAACAAAAUAACCACCC
ensembl:lncRNA